AGCUGGAUAGUUUGCUUUUAGACCGUUAGGCUUUUAACCUAACGGUCCAGGGUUCGAGUCCCUGUUCGGGCG